rnacentral:lncRNA from 12 species
GGCUAGUAUAGGCAGCAGAUAAAGAUUCCAGCUUUGAUAUUGUUAAUUUACACUAUUCUUUAAUUUAAGCAAAGUAUUCCUGACCUUUUUUCUGUCAGAAGUAGUUUGGUUUUUAGGAAAGUUUUCUGGUGGUGGUGGUGGUGGUGCAGAAAAAUGAUGGAGAGUAUCAGAAACACAGGCAUUCUUUUUGCAUGUUUGUUUUUCUGCAUUUGAAUCAGUGUUUUGGUGUAUAUAGGGUAGAUAACUCUCCUCCUUCUGAUUGUUGUUCAUUAGGUGAAUACAAAGGCUGUGGUGAAACCACAGAGAGUGGGCGAAACAUAUUCGAGCACCAUGUAAAUAUUAUUUACUGGGGUGCAGAGCAUAGCUGAAAACUGACAGUGCAGGGGCUGAGAGCUCAUGGGUGCUCACAGCUGACAGCUCCUGCUCUGUGCCACAUCGCCAUCUCGAGCACAGACUCAGCUUGCAGAUCUCCUCUUCUCUUGCCCCUGCGGAGGACGGCAAGCGAGUAAGAGUUUUGCAUCCAUUUGAUGUAAUGACACAGCCCGUGCUUUGGAGGCAGGAUGAACCUCUCCCCUUGCAAAGCGCCUGGAGCAGCAGUGCCCUCGUCUGUCAGGAGCUCUGCCAGCAGCCAGCACUGCAGAGGCAGCGCCUUCAGCCGUACAUUCCUGCUUUCUGCACCGGUGUGUCGCAAGCCUGAAUGUUCACAUCUCCGUAUUGCUUGGGUAUUAGCUGGCAUGCCAUAUAAAUUGUACAUUGUGCCUCCCUCCAG